rnacentral:rRNA from 1 species
UCGACGAAGCCAUAAGAACGAUUCUUCGGAUGAAGUCUUUUGUGACUUAGUGGCGGACGGGUGAGUAACGCGUGGGUAACCUGCCUCACACAGGGGGAUAACAGUUGGAAACGACCGCUAAUACCGCAUAAGCCGACGAAUCCGCAUGGAUUCGCCGGAAAAGAUUUAUCGGUGUGAGAUGGACCCGCGUCUGAUUAGCCAGUUGGCAGGGUAACGGCCUACCAAAGCGACGAUCAGUAGCCGGCCUGAGAGGGUGAACGGCCACAUUGGGACUGAGACACGGCCCAAACUCCUACGGGAGGCAGCAGUGGGGAAUAUUGCACAAUGGGGGAAACCCUGAUGCAGCGACGCCGCGUGAGUGAAGAAGUAUUUCGGUAUGUAAAGCUCUAUCAGCAGGGAAGAAAAUGACGGUACCUGACUAAGAAGCCCCGGCUAACUACGUGCCAGCAGCCGCGGUAAUACGUAGGGGGCAAGCGUUAUCCGGAUUUACUGGGUGUAAAGGGAGCGUAGACGGCACAGCAAGUCAGAAGUGAAAGCCCGGGGCUCAACUCCGGGACUGCUUUUGAAACUGUUGGGCUGGAGUGCAGGAGAGGUAAGCGGAAUUCCUAGUGUAGCGGUGAAAUGCGUAGAUAUUAGGAGGAACACCAGUGGCGAAGGCGGCUUACUGGACUGUAACUGACGUUGAGGCUCGAAAGCGUGGGGAGCAAACAGGAUUAGAUACCCUGGUAGUCCACGCCGUANACGAUGAAUACUAGGUGUCGGGNGCCAAAGGCGUUCGGUGCCGCAGCAAACGCAAUAAGUA